GAACACCCCGUGAGCUCAGACUCCCACCCUGCCACAGGCUGCCUCUGUAGCACUAGCUACCUGUUUUGUUAUGUGUAAUUUUACUAUGUUAAAAUUAAAACCUUUUUAGCUGGGUGGUGGUGGCGCACGCCUUUAAUCCCAGCACUCGGGAGGCAGAGGCAGGUGGAUCUCUGUGAGUUUGAGGCCAGCUUGGUCUACAAGAGCUAGUUCCAGGACAGGCUCCAAAGCCACAGAGAAACCUUGUCUUGAAAAAACAAAUAAAACCUUUUUAUUUAAACAGAAAAGAGGAGAUAAUGUGGGAUUCCCCUCUGUAUGCUGUGAAUACCAUUAGUUAAUAAAGAAAUUGUCAUGGCCUAUGAUAGGGAAAACUAAACUGAAUACUGGGAGAAGGAAGGCGGAAUUUAGAGAUGCCAUGUAGCCAUCAGAGAGGAAAGACGUGAGCUGCCAGCUGAAAUCUUGUGGAUAGGCAGCGACACUCAUGUUAAAAUCUAAAAUAAUGGAAAUGGUUAAUUCUAGACAUAAGAGCUAGCUAGCAAUACACUUAAGCUAUUGUCCAAGUAGUAUUGUAAAUAAUAUAGUUUCUGUGUGAUUAUUUCAGGAGUCUGGGCGGCCAGGAAACGAACAAGCAGCCUCCAACAACAUGGUGCCUAUAAGCCCAGUACUCAAGAGGACAAGAGGGUCGGUCGGCCUCAGAUACCAGGGAAGUCAGCACUGGCUGGGGUGACACUCAGAAAGCAGCAAGACUGAGUUUAGUGCCCCCCUACAAUGUUAAUAGUGACAGGCAAAUCGUGUGCUGUUGCUGUGGUUGGUACAGCCGAGUUGGCUCAUCUGGUUACCACUCCCACAGCUAUGCUGACAUCUGCUCUGCUCCUCUAGGCCUGUGGUGGAUCACUAGAGUGAGCGGCCAGCCUUCACUUCUGGGAACGGCCUGCUGGGUGAUGACACAGCCCUUUAUGCUGAUGGACUCAGUGUAGAGACAUUCAGGGUCUUGAGAAACUGUGAUGUCGCGUGGUGCUGCCUUUGUCUGGUGUUGACCAUGGGUAAGAACAGCCUCAAGAUGAGCGGGAGGUGUUCCUGGCUCUUUCCCUUCUCACAUAAUCUCUACGGCUGCCAUUAUUUCUGCCACACGUGUUCGGAUCCUAUCUUCAACAACAUCUUAAGCUGCUGACUAGAGGUGACUUGUGAUUCUGCCAAUAUUAAGUGCACAUGCGCUAUGGCGAUCGGCCCUUUUCCAUUAGGAAAUGCAGUGCCCUGUCUUGGUGUCUUAUGUGUAUAAUCUGCACAUUGUACCUGCCUGGGCCCGCCAUCUUUCCAGUCUUUAUAUUGACAGUAUCUUUUCUGGUCUGCCCGUAGUUGAACUUUUGUUUUCGUUUUGCUUGGUUUUGGAGGUGCAGUGUCCCUAAGGAACUGUCCUGAGCUCUUGGUCCUCUCUCACCUUAGUCUUCCAUGUGCUGAGAUUACAGGUAUGUGUCACCAUGCCCCGCCUCAUCUGUUCUGACAAAUGGUCUUUUAAGGGAGUGUUCCACUUAUUACUAUUUAGUGGAAUUGAAUGUAAUAAUGCUGUUAUUUACUUCCCAUUCCCUACCUCUUCCUACUGAGCUAUGACAACUGUGGAUGACGCCCUGCAUUCGGUCUCGGUGUUGAGCUCAGCAGACAUCUUAGACCGUGUAAGGCCAUUCAGUCCUACAUCCUUUUUCUGUCUCAUUAUUUACAGUACAGACCCAACAAUCAACAUGAGAACCUUUGCUUAAAAUAACCAUGUCCUCUAUAGACAUCCGGGUAUAGCCAUGUCCUCUACAGACGCCCAGGUAUGGCUGUAUCUCUACAGAUGCCUGGGUUUGCAUCUGGAUCACUUCCUCUCCACUCCUGAGAACUCCAUGCAGCAUUUCUUACAGUGUAGGUUCACCAGUAAUGAAUUCUCCUAGUUUCCCCUUAUCUGAGAACAAGUUUAUCUUGCCCUGACCCUUGAAGGCUAUUCCACUAGAUACAGAGUUCUGGGUUGACAGUUUUCUUCUAAUAGCAGCUUAAACAUGUGUUUCAGUGUCUUCUGGCCUCAGAUGUAACCCUGGCUAGCCUAGAACUCUCUAAUGCAGACCAGGCUGGCCUCAAACUCAGAGAUCUGCCUGCCUCUGCCUCCUAAGAGCAGGGAUUACAGGCGUGCACAAUUCAGGCCCUUGUUGGGCGCCAAUGCCCCUCAUUCUCCCUGGUCCCCUCUGAUCUAUGUGCAUAUGUCUGCUCCCAAAUCUGCAAACACUCUAGCACUUUAUUUUCCUUCUCUCCCAGGGAGAUGUGAGGGGACACUGCUUUUAGGAGAAAUCUAAAGAUGUCCAAAUAAUGAAGACAAAGUAUCACAUUUUCAGAUAAAGAAAACAAUUUGUUAUCAACAAAUAUACAAAGAUAUUUACUUCUCAGGACGAAAGAGCUCUGAGGCCAACCACCCCCUGCUCCCCGCGGUAGUCUUCACCGGCUCCACGACAGGGGUUUUGAGAACCAGCCUUCAGUGAACCCAGAUCACUGUGCCCUGCAUGGAGGAACCCGGAGACGCAGAGAACUUCGGAUGGCCCUUCCAUUAGCCCUAGUUUACAAGUCAUCAACACUGUUCCUCCACGGCCUCUGGGAUGUUCCUGUCCCAGGUUCCUGAGAUUUCCCUCAGAGGAUUCCCCUGCGUGAUUUGACAGCUAUCUAGACGUUGCAGGAUCAAACAAACCCUGUUUUCCCCAAGGUGCUUCGGUCGCAGGUUUUACCACAGCACUGGAAACCCUAGGUCUUAUGGAGUCUCUGAAGACUAUGUGCUCACUAGCGGAUGUGAGUAAAACUUGGAAUCUCAGAGGUGGGCCUAAUAUUAGACAUGGUACAACAGAGUUUUGUGAAGUCAGGACACUCUUUAAAAAUUCAAAUUAAAGUAUUCCCCAUGACACUUUUUACCCCAUUUGAGCUCUACUAUGUAUCAGGCACUGGGCUAGAUGCAAAGUUACUGAUGAAAAAGAUGCGUGACACUGAGACUUUGAGGCAUCUGGUAAUGUGACAGGGCUGUAAAAUGGACUUGGGACUGAGCAAUUUUGAGUUCCGGUUAGCAUGAGGAUCAGAGAAUGCUUCCUCAGGGGAGUGACGUGUGCAGGAGGCAAAGAGGGGUGUGCCAGGUUCAGCCCAGCAUGGGCUGUGUGGAGGAGCAGCAGUGGGGGCUUACUGAGGAGAGCCUGGUCCCAGGUUUGAGGGUGCUGCGCCUGUUUUAGGAUGGUGCUGAGGACAGCGGGAGUGCCCCAGGUCACACUGCAGGCACAGCAUUGGCGUCUUGGCAACA